CACCACACUGUGUCUCUCCCAUCAGCCUGCGAGACCCCGGGAGGACCAUCCGUCUUCAUCUUCCCCCCGAAACCCAAGGACACCCUCACAAUCUCCCGCACACCCGAGGUCACCUGCUUAGUGGUGGACGUAGGCCAGGAGGACCCCGAUGUUGAAUUCUCCUGGUACGUGGGUGAGGUGGAGGUGCACACGGCCAAGACGCAGCCAAGGGAGGAGCAGUUCAACAGCACCUACCGCGUGGUCAGCGCCCUGCCCAUCCAGCACCAGGACUGGCUUCAGGGAAAGGAGUUCAAGUGCAAGGUCAACAACAAGGGCCUCCAGGCCCCCAUCGUGAGGACCAUCUCCAAGGCCAAAGGGCAGCCCCGGGAGCCGCAGGUGUACGUUCUGGCCCCACCCAGGGAAGAGCUGACCAAGAGCACAGUCAGCGUAACCUGCAUGGUCACCGGCUUCUAUCCGAGCGACGUCAACGUGGAGUGGCAGAGGAACGGGCAGCCUGUGUCAGAGGACAAUUAUGGCACGACCCCACCCCAGCUGGACGCCGACGGCUCCUUCUUCCUGUACAGCAGGCUCAGGGUGGACAGGAGCAGCUGGCAGCAGGGAGACACCUACACGUGUGUCGUGAUGCACGAGGCUCUACACAAUCAUCUCACACAGAAGACCAUCUCCAAGUCUCCGGAACUGCUCCUGGAGGAGGAGAGCUGUGCCGACGCCCAGGAAGGGGAGCUGGACGGGCUGUGGACAACCAUCUCCAUCUUCAUCACGCUCUUCCUGCUCAGCGUGUGCUACAGCGCCACCGUGACCCUCUUCAAGGUGAAGUGGAUCUUCUCGUCGGUGGUGGAGCUGAAGCGCACGGUCAUUCCCGACUACAGAAACAUGAUCGGGCAGGGCGCCUAG